rnacentral:rRNA from 1 species
GGUGUAAGCGCAGCGAUGCGUUGAGCUAACCGGUACUAAUGAACCGUGAGGCUUAACCUUACAACGCCGAAGC